GACGAACGCUGGCGGCGUGCUUAACACAUGCCAGUCGAACGGUGAAGCGCCUUCCUUUUUGGUGGGUGUGGAUGAGUGGCGAACGGGUGAGUAACACGUGAGUAACCUGCCCCCUUCUUCUGGAUAACCGCAUGAAAGUGUGGCUAAUACGGGAUAUUCUGGGUCUGUCGCAUGAUGGGUCUGGGAAAGAUAUUGUUUCGGUGGGGGAUGGACUCGCGGCCUAUCAGCUUGUUGGUGGGGUGAUGGCCUACCAAGGCGGUGACGGGUAGCCGGCCUGAGAGGGUGGACGGUCACACUGGGACUGAGACACGGCCCAGACUCCUACGGGAGGCAGCAGUGGGGAAUAUUGCACAAUGGGCGCAAGCCUGAUGCAGCGACGCCGCGUGAGGGAUGGAGGCCUUCGGGUUGUGAACCUCUUUCGCCAGUGAAGCAGGCCUGCCUCGUUUGUGGGUGGGUUGACGGUAGCUGGAUAAGAAGCGCCGGCUAACUACGUG
rnacentral:rRNA from 1 species